AUUGAACGCUGGCGGCAUGCUUUACACAUGCAAGUCGAACGGUAACAGGUUAAGCUGACGAGUGGCGAACGGGUGAGUAAUGCAUCGGAACGUGCCCGAUCGUGGGGGAUAACGCAGCGAAAGCUGCGCUAAUACCGCAUACGAUCUGAGGAUGAAAGCGGGGGACCGUAAGGCCUCGCGCGAUCGGAGCGGCCGAUGUCAGAUUAGGUAGUUGGUGGGGUAAAGGCUCACCAAGCCAACGAUCUGUAGCUGGUCUGAGAGGACGACCAGCCACACUGGGACUGAGACACGGCCCAGACGCCUACGGGAGGCAGCAGUGGGGAAUUCUGGACAAUGGGCGAAAGCCUGAUCCAGCAAUGCCGCGUGCAGGAAGAAGGCCUUCGGGUUGUAAACUGCUUUUGUACGGAGCGAAAAGGCUCUCUCUAAUACAGGGGGCUCAUGACGGUACCGUAAGAAUAAGCACCGGCUAACUACGUGCCAGCCGCCGCCGUAAGAC
rnacentral:rRNA from 1 species